UACGUAGGGUGCAAGCGUUGUCCGGAAUUAUUGGGCGUAAAGAGCUCGUAGGCGGUUUGUCGCGUCUGCUGUGAAAACUCGGGGCUUAACUCCGGGCCUGCAGUGGGUACGGGCAGACUAGAGUGCGGUAGGGGAGACUGGAAUUCCUGGUGUAGCGGUGAAAUGCGCAGAUAUCAGGAGGAACACCGGUGGCGAAGGCGGGACUCUGGGCCGUAACUGACGCUGAGGAGCGAAAGCGUGGGGAGCGAACAGG
rnacentral:rRNA from 1 species